UUCCAGCACCGAAGCCUCCCUAACCUCCCUUCCUCUCCUUCCUUAUCUCCACAGCCAUCGUGCCCUUGUCGAGUUUUGCCGCCCUCCUAAGAUUGACUUUUUCCUCUUCAAACCAUCAUUGCAUUGUUUUUUCCUAUUUUUCAUCAACACCCAUCGAGAUCCAUCCUGCCAGCUUGCAACUCAUCGCGACAGCCGCCGCAGCACCAC
rnacentral:lncRNA from 1 species